AGUUCGAUUCGGUCAGAUUGAACGCUGGCGGGAUGCUUUACACAUGCAAGUCGAACGGCAGCACGGACUUCGGGUCUGGUGGCGAAAUGCAGAACGGGUGAGUAAUGUAUCUGGAACGUGCCUAGUAGCGGGGAUAAUCCGUCGGGAAAGCGUAGUUCGAGCACCGGGCAUACGGCCCUGGGGAAGCGGGGCCCUUCGGGCCUCGCACUAUUAGACGCGCCGAUAUCGGAUUAGCUAGUUGGUGGGGUAACGGCUCACCAAGCGCGACGAUCCGUAGCUGGUUUGAGAGGACGACCAGCCACACUGACUGAGACACGCCCCAGACUCUACGGGAGGCAGCAGUGGGGAAUUUUGGACAAUGGGGAAACCCUGAUCCAGCCAUCCCGCGUGUGCGAUGAAGGCCUCGGGUUGUAAAGCACUUUUUGGCAGGAAGAAACGGCACGGAUAAUACCCCGUGCAACUGACGGUGCCUGCAGAAUAAGCACCGGCUAACCACGCCAGCAGCCGCGUGGUCGCAGGGUGCAAGCGUUAAUCGGAAUUACUGGGCGUAAAGCGUGUGCAGGCGGUUCGGAAAGAAAGAUGUGAAAUCCCAGAGCUUAACUUUGAACUGCAUUUUUAACUACUGAGCUGAUAUCGGGGAGGGAGGUGGAACCCGGCGUGUAGCAGUGAAAUCCAGAUAUGCGGAGGAACACCGAUGGCGAAGGCAGCCUCCCUGGGAUAACACUGACGCUCAUGCAAUGAAAAACGCGGGGAGCAAACAGGAUUAGAUACCCUGGUAGUCCACGCCCUAAACGAUGUCAACUAGCCGUUGGGGCCUUCGGGCUCGGUAGCGCAGCUAACGCGUGAAGUUGACCGCCUGGGGGAGCACGUUUUAAAGAUUAAAACUCAAAGGAAUUGACGGGGACCCGCACAAGCGGUGGAUGAUGUGGAUUAAUUCGAUGCAAGUGAAAACCUUACCUACCCUUGACAUGUCUGAAUCCUUGAAGAGAUUUGGGAAUGCUCGCAAGAGAACUGGAACACAGGUGCUGUAAGGUCAUCGCCACUUCAAACGAUAAGCGGGUUGUCCCGCAACGAGCGCAACCCUUGUCGUCGAAGCCGUUACGAAAGGCAUCAUCGAGACUGGCGGUGACAAACUGAUGUUGUGGAUGACGUCGGUCCAUGGGUUCUUAUGGGUAGGGCUUCACACGUCAUACAAUGGUCGGGACAGAGGGUCGCCAACCCGCGAGGGGGAGCCAAUCCCAGAAACCCGAUCGUAGUCCGGAUCGUAGUCUGCAACUCGACUGCGCAGUUGAACCGUAAUCGCGGAUCACAUGUCAAACGGUGAAUACGUUCCCGGUCUUGUACACACCGCCCGUCACACCAUGGAGGCUGGAGCCUUAAUUGCAGCAGUUAGCCCAACCGCAAGGAGGGCGAUUACCACGGGUAGGAUUCAUGACCGGGGUGAAGUCGCAAUAAGGUAGUU
rnacentral:rRNA from 1 species